rnacentral:ncRNA from 2 species
CUAGGGUCAGCUGGCCUUGGUGUUCGGGAAACCGGUGGAAAACCGGUGCGGCCCUCGCCACUGUGAUCGGGAAGUCCAGCUCCACCCCCUUGCGGGAGCCACUGGGACCGCACGGGAGACCGUACGGACCCGGGAAGGCGGAGCCGGGGCGGCAGUACCCGUCAGCCAGGAGACCGGCCGGGGCGCGUACGUCCAU